rnacentral:rRNA from 1 species
ACGGAAGGCAGCAGUGGGGAAUAUUGCACAAUGGGGGAAACCCUGAUGCAGCGACGCCGCGUGAGCGAAGAAGUAUUUCGGUAUGUAAAGCUCUAUCAGCAGGGAAGAAAAUGACGGUACCUGACUAAGAAGCUCCGGCUAAAUACGUGCCAGCAGCCGCGGUAAUACGUAUGGAGCAAGCGUUAUCCGGAUUUACUGGGUGUAAAGGGAGCGUAGACGGGACAGCAAGUCUGAUGUGAAAGGCGGGGGCUCAACCCCUGGACUGCAUUGGAAACUGCUGACCUUGAGUGCCGGAGAGGUAAGCGGAAUUCCUAGUGUAGCGGUGAAAUGCGUAGAUAUUAGGAGGAACACCAGUGGCGAAGGCGGCUUACUGGACGGUAACUGACGUUGAGGCUCGAAAGCGUGGGGAGCAGACAGGAUUAGAUACCCUGGUA